CUGUUUAAAGCUCCACCCACUGAAAGGUUAUCCUUCACUACUGUCUUACAGAGAUGUCUCAGAAAGGGACUGUAGUGUGGCAGCUAUCCACUCCUGAGUGCAGCUUGCAUAACACACAGAACAAACUACAAACCAGGACUGAGUUUUCCUUUCCCCAGUCAGCUGUUCAUAAGGAACUCCCCAUAAGGCUACAGGUGCAGACUAAGGGAAGGAGGAGUAAGGACUGUGGUCAUUUUGGCCAUUCUGCACGCACUUUUUGCCUUCAGGGUCUGUCCAAGCACAGUCUCCUGUGUACCAUUUUCAUUAGAUAAUGGAGCACUACCUUCACUCCCAGAUUUUUUUGGCUUAGUGGGUCAGACAACAUCCAUUUCAUGAUAGGCAGCUCAGGUUACCUGGUAACUUGAUGGCCCUUAGUUAAGCCUUAAGCUCUACUAAGGCUUACUAGCAAACCAAAACUGUUUCCCAAGACUAGAGUAAUUAUUCCCAGAGGAUGGUGGGGCUUUUUCCAAAAUCCUAAGGACUCACACUGUGAUCAUUUACAGGAGCCUACUAAAGAUUCCAAAUAGCAUCGCUUCUGCCACUGUCACUUCUCACACCAUCGGGUUUGAGUCAGAUGGCCCAAAUGGCCGAAGAGCUUCUCUUGUCUUGAGCCGCACUCAAACUAGCUGCUUUUUUAGUUACUAAGUAAAUGGACUGGAGUAGCAUACCCAAAUUAGUAAUAUAUUGUCUCAGAAAUCCAUAAAAGCCCACCAAAUGUAGUACCUAUUUUUGUAGGAGGGGCCAGAUGCAGCAACUUAUCCUUCACCUUAAAAGGAAUGUCUUAACAUACCCCAAAGGCCCCAAAUAUUUGUGGGAUUUCUCCCCGCUUCUUUUUU
rnacentral:lncRNA from 1 species